GUAGCUUGCUACUUUGCUGACGAGCGGCGGACGGGUGAGUAAUGCUUGGGAACAUGCCUUGAGGUGGGGGACAACAGUUGGAAACGACUGCUAAUACCGCAUAAUGUCUACGGACCAAAGGGGGCUUCGGCUCUCGCCUUUAGAUUGGCCCAAGUGGGAUUAGCUAGUUGGUGAGGUAAUGGCUCACCAAGGCAACGAUCCCUAGCUGGUUUGAGAGGAUGAUCAGCCACACUGGAACUGAGACACGGUCCAGACUCCUACGGGAGGCAGCAGUGGGGAAUAUUGCACAAUGGGCGAAAGCCUGAUGCAGCCAUGCCGCGUGUGUGAAGAAGGCCUUCGGGUUGUAAAGCACUUUCAGUCAGGAGGAAAGGGUGUGAGUUAAUACCUCACAUCUGUGACGUUACUGACAGAAGAAGCACCGGCUAACUCCGUGCCAGCAGCCGCGGUAAUACGGAGGGUGCGAGCGUUAAUCGGAAUUACUGGGCGUAAAGCGUACGCAGGCGGUUUGUUAAGCGAGAUGUGAAAGCCCCGGGCUCAACCUGGGAACUGCAUUUCGAACUGGCAAACUAGAGUGUGAUAGAGGGUGGUAGAAUUUCAGGUGUAGCGGUGAAAUGCGUAGAGAUCUGAAGGAAUACCGAUGGCGAAGGCAGCCACCUGGGUCAACACUGACGCUCAUGUACGAAAGCGUGGGGAGCAAACGGGAUUAGAUACCCCGGUAGUCCACGCCGUAAACGAUGUCUACUAGAAGCUCGGAACCUCGGUUCUGUUUUUCAAAGCUAACGCAUUAAGUAGACCGCCUGGGGGAGUACGGCCGCAAGGUUAAAACUCAAAUGAAUUGACGGGGGCCCGCACAAGCGGUGGAACAUGGUGGUUUAAUUCGAUGCAACGCGAAGAACCUUACCUACACUUGACAUACAGAGAACUUUCUAGAAAAUAGAUUGGUGCCUUCGGGAACUCUGAUACAGGUGCUGCAUGGCUGUCGUCAGCUCGUGUUGUGAAAAAUUUUGGGUUAAGUCCCGCAACGAGCGCAACCCCUAUCCUUAGUUGCUAGCAGGUAAUGCUGAGAACUCUAAG
rnacentral:rRNA from 1 species